ACGAACGCUGGCGGCAUGCCUAAUACAUGCAAGUCGAACGAGAUCUUCGGAUCUAGUGGCGCACGGGUGCGUAACGCGUGGGAAUCUACCCUUGGGUUCGGAAUCACAGUUAGAAAUGACUGCUAAUACCGGAUGAUGACGUAAGUCCAAAGAUUUAUCGCCCAAGGAUGAGCCCGCGUAGGAUUAGCUUGUUGGUGAGGUAAAAGCUCACCAAGGCGACGAUCCUUAGCUGGUCUGAGAGGAUGAUCAGCCACACUGGGACUGAGACACGGCCCAGACUCCUACGGGAGGCAGCAGUAGGGAAUAUUGGACAAUGGGGGAAACCCUGAUCCAGCAAUGCCGCGUGAGUGAUGAAGGCCUUCGGGUUGUAAAGCCCUUUUGGCGGGGACGAUAAUGACGGUACCCGCAGAAUAAGCCCCGGCUAACUUCGU
rnacentral:rRNA from 1 species